GCCAACGGCAAUAUCAUGUUGAAAACACCGGUUCUUGUCCGAUCACCGAAGUUAAGCAACAUUGGGCGUGGUCAGUACUUGCAUGGAUGACCUCUUGGGAACAACACGUGCUGUUGGCA